UUUCUGGUAGCUCAAUCGGGUAGAGCAAUUAGCUGUUAACUAAUAGGUUGUAGGUUCGAAUCCUAUCCAGGAAG
rnacentral:tRNA from 1 species